UGGAGGAAAGUAGGGGAUCGAAAGACCUUAUGCUUUUGGAGCGGCCGAUGUCUGAUUAGCUAGUUGGUAAGGUAAUGGCUUACCAAGGCAACGAUCAGUAGUUGGUCUGAGAGGACGACCAGCCACACUGGGACUGAGACACGGCCCAGACUCCUACGGGAGGCAGCAGUGGGGAAUUUUGGACAAUGGGCGCAAGCCUGAUCCAGCAAUGCCGCGUGAGUGAAGAAGGCCUUCGGGUUGUAAAGCUCUUUCAGUUGAGAAGAAAAGAUUGUGACUAAUAAUUGCAAUUCAUGACGGUAUCAACAGAAGAAGCACCGGCUAACUACGUGCCAGCAGCCGCGGUAAUACGUAGGGUGCGAGCGUUAAUCGGAAUUACUGGGCGUAAAGGGUGCGCAGGCGGUUCUGCAAGUCAGAUGUGAAAUCCCCGGGCUUAACCUGGGAACUGCGUUGAAACUACAAAGCUAG
rnacentral:rRNA from 1 species